AACGAACGCUGGCGGCAGGCCUAACACAUGCAAGUCGAGCGAGACCUUCGGGUUUAGCGGCGGACGGGUUAGUAACGCGUGGGAACGUGCCCUUCUCUAAGGAAUAGCCACUGGAAACGGUGAGUAAUACCUUAUACGCCCUUCGGGGGAAAGGAUUUAUCGGAGAAGGAUCGGCCCGCGUUAGAUUAGGUAGUUGGUGGGGUAAUGGCCUACCAAGCCUACGAUCUAUAGCUGGUUUUAGAGGAUGAUCAGCAACACUGGGACUGAGACACGGCCCAGACUCCUACGGGAGGCAGCAGUGGGGAAUCUUGGACAAUGGGCGCAAGCCUGAUCCAGCCAUGCCGCGUGAGUGAUGAAGGCCUUAGGGUCGUAAAGCUCUUUCGCCAGGGAUGAUAAUGACAGUACCUGGUAAAGAAACCCCGGCUAACUCCGUGCCAGCCGCCGCUGUAAC
rnacentral:rRNA from 1 species